rnacentral:rRNA from 1 species
UACGAAGGGGGCGAGCGUUGUUCGGAAUUACUGGGCGUAAAGGGCGCGUAGGCGGCGACUCAAGUUAGAUGUGAAAGUCCUGGGCUCAACCCUGGAACUGCCUUUGAUACUGUCGAUCUGGAGUAUGGAAGAGGUGAGUGGAAUUCCGAGUGUAGAGGUGAAAUUCGUAGAUAUUCGGAGGAACACCAGUGGCGAAGGCGGCUCACUGGUCCAUUACUGACGCUGAGGUGCGAAAGCGUGGGGAGCAAACAGG